AACGCAAAUUGCACUCGAGGCCCCGGCCGAGAGUAUGCCUGCCUCAGCGUCGGUCUACACCCUCUUUCUCGCUCUCUCUUGUCUAGAGAGGUAAAAGGAAGGACCUGGCUGUCCCGAUCGAGAGCAUCGGGUCCGCUGAAGAACAGAGGCCCGAGCGUGGACAUGUAAGGGCAACAGUCUGGUAGGCAACCACAAAUCGCAUUCCGCUGUUGGCCUGCGGGACCAUCGCUGGAAGCCGUACGCAGGAACCAUCAAACCUUCGACCUGAGUUCAGGCAAGAGCACCCGCUGAACUUAA
rnacentral:misc_RNA from 1 species